rnacentral:rRNA from 1 species
UGGCGGACGGGUGAGUAACGCGUGGGUAACCUGCCUUGUACAGGGGGAUAACAGCUGGAAACGGCUGCUAAUACCGCAUAAGCGCACGAGGAGACAUCUCCUUGUGUGAAAAACUCCGGUGGUACAGGAUGGGCCCGCGUCUGAUUAGCUGGUUGGCAGGGUAACGGCCUACCAAGGCAACGAUCAGUAGCCGGUCUGAGAGGAUGAACGGCCACAUUGGAACUGAGACACGGUCCAAACUCCUACGGGAGGCAGCAUG